CAGGGAGAGAGGUGUAGACGAGCCGGCUGUAUAUAAGCGUUCAGAACGUGGUACAGAGCAUCAUACAACCACGAGACCUCCGCGAGUCAACAUGAAAGCGUUCUUGGUUUUAGCAGCCGUUGCGGCUAUCGGCUCGGCGAGACCCGAGGCGGGAUACAGUUACAACGCGCCUGGAGGCGGUGGUCAUGGAGCAGGCAUCGGUGGAGGUCUCGGAGGGGGCCAUGG